rnacentral:lncRNA from 1 species
UCUUCCCUGAUUGCCUGUGAGAUAACUCUUUCCUUUCUUUCCUAUCUGUAUACACAGCAUGAGUUUCCAUAAGCUAAAUGGGACAUAACAUGAUUGAUUAACUAGGGGACAUGUGUAGACCCUCUUCUGACCCAUACAGAAGUAGAGUGUGUGGGCAGAGAGAAAGGCCUGUUGUGUAAGUGCCACAGCCUCUUUGUUGUGCUAAAAGCAAUGGAAAUGUCUAAGAAGUAUUGUGAUGGCCUAAGACGUCAUUCUUGAGCAAGAGCUAGAUGGAAUCACAUGCCAUAUUUUUACGUUUACAAUUUCAGUGUUCUAGCUAUAUACUUAAAACUAUAAACAAUGCUUUUGUUACAGAGAUUCCUGCAGUCCCCAUGCCCCUCUUUUUUUUGUUAACUGAAACAAAAGUAUGUAUAAUGCUGUUUUUGUUAAAGUAAGGUUGCCUGGGCACACCACCCUCACAUCAUUGCAGAACGCACUAAACUAGAGCCUGCCGUCGUUUGGGCCAACCCAACGGAAUUGCUCUCCCUUGUAAUCAUAAGGACCUAAAACUGAACAGGUAACAUACCCAACAUCUCAGAUUCAUUAUUUUUAAUGUAUUUUUUUUUGGUAGCUUUGGCAUGGGACAGUCACAUCAAAGGUGCUUGUUAUGACCUAAGCAAUCAUCAUCAAUAGCUGAUAACAUCCAAAGAGAGACACAACCAGACAUUAUGCACCUCCUGAUUAUAGUACAAAAGAAUGCAAACUAAGUCUGCACAACCUCCAGCUCUAAGUACCAAUGCCAAGGAAACACAGGAGAAAAGGAAACGUACUAAACCAUGUUAUUAUUGGAAUGCCAUUAACCAAAGCCAACAUGUGGGAGACUACCAGACAAGAAGAUUUAGUUCCUUUAACAGCAUCAACAACACAGCAAACAGGGAAAAAGAGGAUGGAGUUUUCAUGCCUCAGGGAUACUGAGGCAAAUAAACUGUCAGUAAAGAAAAGAGAGCAAGGUAGAAAGAGGCUAUUUAUAGGAGAAUCAGGAAAAUGUAAAUACUAAAUGAAUAUCUGAUACUAUUACAGAAUUAUUAAUAUUGGUUUUUAGGGAGCUGUGAUGAUUCUUAGGGAGGUGUCCUGAUGCUGCAUAGUUGCUUUUAAAAAGGGCACUCUUUGUCUUUUACAGAUCCACACUGAAACGUUUACUGAUGAAAUGCUCUCUAACAUCUGGGAUUUCCUUCAAAAUUAUCCGGGGCAGAGAGGGAGUGGGUACGGGCAGAGGAAAUAACAUAGGACAUAAGUUGAAAAUACUGAAGCUGAGUGAAGGGAGUUCAUUGUAAUACACUCCACACUUUGGUAUAUGUUUGAAAUUUUGCCUAAUAAAAAAAAUUCAGUGUCUAUUUUACAGAUGUAUUUGUCAUUUCAACAAACAUAUGUUGAAAUCAUGUUGCACAUUAGGGAUUGGAGACAUAUACACAAAUUAGCAUUCCGGCCAGACUGCUUAUCAUUACUUCUUAUUUCCUGUUUGUAAGAUGCCAUUCGUCUGGGCAAGGUAGCACAUGCUUGUAAUCCCAGAUUUUUGGGAGGCUGCAGUGGGACCAUCACUAGAGGUUAGCACUUGGAGACCAGCCUGGGCAACAUAGGGAGACAUCAUACCACACUGAAUUUUGAAGGGUUCUCGCUGAAUUGCUCCAAAUCUGACAUUCUGGGUAACCCUCCUCAUGCAGCUGGGAGCCUUUGGAAUCUUCACAACCAGGAGGGCUGUGUCUUUGACCUUGAUUUAGGCCUUGUGUCUUCAGGGCAUGCCAAGGGGCCGGUGCAGGCUGGACAGAGGUGUGAUCUCCUUUUCUCAGCAUAAUUUCCUUCCUGGGGUCUUCAUAUCGCCCUGAGGCAGGAGCUGGGGUGCUGGCUCCUUCUGAAGGUCGCUUUUCUGGCCUUUGCCUGGG